AAGCGGAGGAGCAUGUGGUUUAAUUCGAUGAUACGCGAGGAACCUUACCUGGGCUCGAACGUAAGAUGACUGUAGGUGAAAGCUUACAUCUCUUCGGAGCAUUUUACGAGGUGCUGCAUGGUUGUCGUCAGCUCGUGCCGUGAGGUGUCGGGUUAAGUCCCAUAACGAGCGCAACCCCUACCUUUAGUUGCCAUCAGGUAAUGCUGGGGACUCUAAAGGAACUGCCUACGCAAGUAGUGAGGAAGGCGGGGAUGACGUCAAAUCAGCACGGCCCUUACGUCCAGGGCUACACACGUGCUACAAUGGCCGAUACAGAGGGCAGCUACCUGGUGACAGGAUGCAAAUCUCCAAAGUCGGUCUCAGUUCGGAUCGGAGUCUGCAACCCGACUCCGUGAAGUUGGAUUCGCUAGUAAUCGCGCAUCAGCCAUGGCGCGGUGAAUACGUUCCCGGGCCUU
rnacentral:rRNA from 1 species